rnacentral:rRNA from 1 species
UGGGGAAUGAUUGCACAAUGGGCGAAAGCCUGAUGCAGCAACGCCGCGUGAGUGAUGAAGGCCUUCGGGUUGUAAAGCUCUGUCUUUUGGGACGAUAAUGACGGUACCAAAGGAGGAAGCCACGGCUAACUACGUGCCAGCAGCCGCGGUAAUACGUAGGUGGCAAGCGUUGUCCGGAUUUACUGGGCGUAAAGGAUGCGUAGGCGGAUUUUUAAGUGAGAUGUGAAAACCCUAAGCUUAACUUGGGGACUGCAUUUCAUACUGGAAAUCUAGAGUGCGGGAGAGGAGAAUGGAAUUCCUAGUGUAGCGGUGAAAUGCGUAGAGAUUAGGAAGAACACCAGUGGCGAAGGCGAUUCUCUGGACCGUAACUGACGCUGAGGCAUGAAAGCGUGGGUAGCAAACAGGAUUAGAUACCCUGGUAGUCCACGCCGUAAACGAUGAGUACUAGGUGUAGGAGGUAUCGACCCCUUCUGUGCCGCAGUUAACACAAUAAGUACUCCGCCUGGGAAGUACGAUCGCAAGAUUAAAACUCAAAGGAAUUGACGGGGGUCAUAGCUGUUUUUCCU